rnacentral:rRNA from 1 species
UACCCUACGGGGGGCAGCAGUCGGGAAUAUUGCGCAAUGGAGGAAACUCUGACGCAGUGACGCCGCGUGCAGGAAGAAGGUUUUCGGAUUGUAAACUGCUUUAGACAGGGAAGAUAAUGACAGUACCUGUAGAAUAAGCUCCGGCUAACUACGUGCCAGCAGCCGCGGUAAUACGUAGGGAGCAAGCGUUAUCCGGAUUUAUUGGGUGUAAAGGGUGCGUAGACGGGAAGGCAAGUUAGUUGUGAAAUCCCUCGGCUUAACUGAGGAACUGCAACUAAAACUAUCUUUCUUGAGUGCUGGAGAGG